rnacentral:rRNA from 1 species
GCCAGCCCGCUCAGAAACUCGAAAGGAAUUGACGGGGCCCGCACAAGCGGUGGAGUAUGUGGUUUAAUUCGAUGCAACGCGAAGAACCUUACCUGGUCUUGACAUCCCGGAGACCCUUAGGAAACUAGGGGGUGCCUUCCAUCUGGAAGAAUCUGGAGACAGGUGCUGCAUGGCUGUCGUCAGCUCGUGUCGUGAGAUGUUGGGUUAAGUCCCGCAACGAGCGCAACCCUUGCCUUUAGUUGCCAGCAGUUCGGCUGGGCACUCUAAAGGGACUGCCGGUGUUAAACCGGAGGAAGGUGGGGAUGACGUCAAGUCCUCAUGGCCUUUAUGACCAGGGCUACACACGUACUACAAUGGCCGAUACAAAGGGCAGCGACACUGCGAGGUGAAGCCAAUCCCGUAAAAUCGGUCUCAGUCCGGAUUGGAGUCUGCAACUCGACUCCAUGAAGUUGGAAUCGCUAGUAAUCGUGGAUCAGCAUGCCACGGUGAAUACGUUCCCGGGCCUU